rnacentral:tRNA from 1 species
GGGUUUAUAGGUUAAGAAAAUCACCUGUUUGCAAAACAGGAGUUGCGCUCUAUUUUUAGGGGCUAAUCCCG